UAACAUAAUUUUUAUGCAUCAUUAUAAACCUACAAAUACUAAAUUCUAGUACUUUGAUUUUACAAUUUUGGGAACGGGAAUGAGUUCCACGUAGAAGCAUGUUGUACCUUUUAUUUCAUUUUGAAUGAUACGCAUACAUUUUGGUAUACAAUUUCAAUAAUACUGUUUCGUUCUCAAUUCCACUUCAUUUGAGUUGAAUAUCUCUCAUUUUUAUUAAUCGUAUUUUCUUUAAAACCAUACUCAAAAUUGUAUUUCAAGAACAUAGUUGGUUUUUUGAACGAAUACUGAGCACUUCAUCAACCGAUAAAGUCAAAACAUGAAAGCAUCAGUAAGGACAUUAGAUCACGACAUGCUUCUCAAACUUAAAAGAUCCAUCGUUGCAAAACAACAAGACAUGGCAUUCCUUCAGGAGUGCUUCAAGAAAAAACUGAUUCCUAACGAUCACCGACUUCAGAUUGAAAUAAAGAUCGCAGAUUUUAGAGCAAGAAGGAUACAUUUGAGAUUAAUCACGGAAAACAUUCGCGAACAUCAUCAAGAGUUGGACAAGUUAUAUUCGGAAUGUUACGCUCUUCAUUUGAAAUUGGCCAAGGAAUACCCAGAAGGCUUCCCUCUUUUUCUCGCUGAAGUUGAGAUAGUAGAAAAGUGCGAAGCUAAACGGAAGAGAAAGAUUUUGGAAAAGAAGCUGAAUGCUCUACAACAAGAGAAAAAGCAAUGCAACACAAAGACGAGGGCCAUGCUGAAAUUGCAGCGUCGCGAACGCGAAAGCAACUUGACGAAACCAAGAAGCUUAGUUGAUAUUAGGGAUAAUAAAGUGUUCGAAGUUGAUUUUUAAUGUAUACGUUUGGGAAAAAUCCAUUCUGGCUAAACUAUUUAUUAUGUAAUAAAGCCUUAUAAAUGAUUUGUUAAAAACUAUGU